rnacentral:rRNA from 1 species
GAUGAACGCUGGCGGCGUGCCUAAUACAUGCAAGUCGAGCGAACGGACGAGAAGCUUGCUUCUAUGUUAGCGGCGGACGGGUGAGUAACACGUGGAUAACCUACCUAUAAGACUGGGAUAACUUCGGGAAACCGGAGCUAAUACCGGAUAAUAUUUUGAACCGCAUGGUUCAAAAGUGAAAGACGGUCUUGCUGUCACUUAUAGAUGGAUCCGCGCUGCAUUAGCUAGUUGGUAAGGUAACGGCUUACCAAGGCAACGAUGCAUAGCCGACCUGAGAGGGUGAUCGGCCACACUGGAACUGAGACACGGUCCAGACUCCUACGGGAGGCAGCAGUAGGGAAUCUUCCGCAAUGGGCGAAAGCCUGACGGAGCAACGCCGCGUGAGUGAUGAAGGUCUUCGGAUCGUAAAACUCUGUUAUUAGGGAAGAACAUAUGUGUAAGUAACUGUGCACAUCUUGACGGUACCUAAUCAGAAAGCCACGGCUAACUACGUG